UCGGGAAUUUUGGGCAAUGGGGGAAACCCUGACCCAGCAACGCCGCGUGAAGGAUGAAGUAUUUCGGUAUGUAAACUUCGAAAGAAUAGGAAGAAUAAAUGACGGUACUAUUUAUAAGGUCCGGCUAACUACGUGCCUGCAGCCGCGGUAAUACGUAGGGACCAAGCGUUGUUCGGAUUUACUGGGCGUAAAGGGCGCGUAGGCGGCAUGACAAGUCACUUGUGAAAUCUCUGGGCUUAACCCAGAACGGCCAAGUGAUACUGUCGCGCUAGAGUGCAGAAGGGGCAAUCGGAAUUCUUGGUGUAGCGGUGAAAUGCGUAGAUAUCAAGAGGAACACCUGAGGUGAAGACGGGUUGCUGGGCUGACACUGACGCUGAGGCGCGAAAGCUAGGGGAGCAAACAGGAUUAGAUACCCAUGUAGUCCCUGAGCGGGCUGGCAAGGCGCAU
rnacentral:rRNA from 1 species